rnacentral:rRNA from 1 species
AUACGUAGGGGGCGAGCGUUGUCCGGAAUGAUUGGGCGUAAAGGGCGCGUAGGCGGCGCGGUAAGUCUGGAGUGAAAGUCCUGCUUUCAAGGUGGGAAUUGCUUUGGAUACUGCCGCGCUUGAGUGCAGGAGAGGUUAUCGGAAUUCCCGGUGUAGCGGUGAAAUGCGUAGAGAUCGGGAGGAACACCAGUGGCGAAGGCGGGUAACUGGACUGCAACUGACGCUGAGGCGCGAAAGUGUGGGGAGCAAACAGGAUUAGAUACCCUGGUAGUCCACACUGUAAACGAUGAAUGCUAGGUGUAGGAGGUAUCGACCCCUUCUGUGCCGCAGUAAACACAGUAAGCAUUCCGCCUGGGGAGUACGGCCGCAAGGUUGAAACUUAAAGGAAUUGACGGGG